rnacentral:rRNA from 1 species
UACGUAGGGCGCAAGCGUUGUCCGGAAUUAUUGGGCGUAAAGAGCUCGUAGGCGGUCUGUCGCGUCUGUUGUGAAAACUCGAGGCUCAACCUCGGGCUUGCAGUGGAUACGGGCAGACUAGAGUGCGGUAGGGGAGACUGGAAUUCCUGGUGUAGCGGUGGAAUGCGCAGAUAUCAGGAGGAACACCGAUGGCGAAGGCAGCUCGCUGGGACGGUACUGACGCUGAGGCGCGAAAGCGUGGGGAGCGAACAGG